UACGUAGGGUGCGAGCGUUAAUCGGAAUUACUGGGCGUAAAGCGUGCGCAGGCGGUUUUUGUAAGCCAGAUGUGAAAAGCCCCGGCGUUAACCUGGGAAGUGGCAUUUGGGUACGUGCAAGGCUUGAGUGCGGCAGAGGAGACUGGAAUUCCCGGUGUAGCAGUGAAAUGCGUAGAUAUCGGGAGGAAUACCGAUGGCGAAGGCAGGUCUCUGGGCUGACACUGACGCUCAUGCACGAAAGCGUGGGGAGCAAACAGGAUUAGAAACCCCGGUAGU
rnacentral:rRNA from 1 species